GCCGGUUUCUCCACCUACAGCCCCUCGAACGCUCUGUGCGCUGACAGUAACAUAAACAACAUUGACAAAACGAGACAAUGCAUUUUAUUAAGGCAGCACCUGCACAAGACACGGCACUGUGUGCUGAUGUUCAAGGACUUUCUCUUAUGAGACUACUGUGGAACUUCAUCAGACAUGACAGCUGGAGGGCAUGUUGGGAUUGAGCAGAGCCUCCUGUAGCGUGGAGAUGAUGGUGAGAGGUCGAGGAGGAAGAAGAAGUAGAAGAGGGGGGCUGCAUAGGCAGCCCGGGUGCCGUGUGGAGGACUUGGAAAGAGGAGGCCAUGUGCAGAGUAGAUGAGGGGAAGGCCCUAAAGUUAAUAGGUUAAUGAGUGUGCCGUGCAUGGAGAAGAAUGAGGCAGUGCGUCUGGCGGGCCUGUGAUAAAGAAAAGCUCUUCUCUGGUUUGGGAAUUUAAGCGAGAGUCUCACAGUGUGUUCCAAAUAGGCCUCCAAUCACUGUUCCCUGUACAGGAACAUCAGGAGCACUGUAUACAGUAGUUAUUGUGUUCCAGGAGAGAGUGGCUGCAUUCAAGUUGCAUAUUAUACACUAAUACUCUAAGAUACUGUAUAUAUUAUAAUCUUAACAGAGAGGAGUUGGCAGGUUAGUGAAUAAACUAACUUUUUAUGCACUAAUUUAUGAUACAUUUCUAAUCCAACUGCACUUACUGUACAUCAGUAUACCAUUUUUUGUUCCUAAUAUUGGGAUUCACCUAGUGUUUUAAUACUGAAGUCUGUACACAAAUACACAGCUAGGGUAGGGUUGUUACUAAUAGACUAUAUAAUACAGCUCUGGAAAAAAUAAAGAGACAACUUAAAAAUGAUAAGGUUCUUUGAUUUUACCUAAUUGAAAACCUCUGGAAUAUAAUCAAGAGGAAGAUGGGUGAUCACAAAGCAUCAAACCAAACUGAACUGCUUGAAUUUUUGCACCAGGAGUGGCAUAAAUUUAUCCAAAAGCAGUGUGUAACACUGGUGGAGGAGAACAUGCCAAGAUGCACAGGGUUAUUCCACCAAAUAUUCAUUUCUGAACUCUUAAAACUUUAUGAAUAUGAACUUGUUUUCUUUGCAUUAUUUGAGGUCUGAAAACUCUGCAACUUUUUUAUUAUUUCAGUCAUUUCUCAUUUCCUGCAAGUAAAUGCUCUAAAUGACAAUAUUUUUAUUUGGAAUUUGGGAGAAAUGUUGUCUGUAGUUUAUAGAAUAAAACAACAAUGUUCAUUUUACUCAAACAUGUACUUAUAAAUAGCAAAAUCUGAUAAUCUGAUUCAGAACCUGAAGUGGUCUAUUUUUUUUUCCAGUGCUGUAUAUAUAUUUUCAAAAUUAAAGUUCUGUUAUCCUUUGGUGUGUGGGCGAGUUUUUUUUUUUUUUUU